rnacentral:rRNA from 1 species
CAGUCGCCGCGGUAAUACGAAGGGUGCAAGCGUUAAUCGGAAUUACUGGGCGUAAAGCGCACGCAGGCGGUUUGUUAAGUCAGAUGUGAAAUCCCCGAGCUUAACUUGGGAACUGCAUUUGAAACUGGCAAGCUAGAGUCUUGUAGAGGGGGGUAGAAUUCCAGGUGUAGCGGUGAAGUGCGUAGAGAUCGGGAGGAACAUCAGUGGCGAAGGCGGCCAUCUGGGACAACACUGACGCUGAGGCACGAAAGCGUGGGGAGCAAACAGGAUUAGAGACCCCUGUAGUCCCUGUCUCUUAUAA